rnacentral:lncRNA from 1 species
AUGUACAUAUUAAUUUAAUAAAUCUAUAAAUUAUCAUAAACUCUAACAUUUUUAAUAACUAAUUAUUAAAGAAUAAAACUAAAAUUAAACAAUGAAAUAAAUAAAAAAAAUAAAAGAAACUCAUCUAAAACAUAAAGCAUAAAGUAUAAAAGAUUACUUACCUAACUAAUUAACAGUUUAGGAUUUGAAGAAAAAUUUUAUAAAAGGAAGAGAGGGAGGAACAAUAAUUUAAAAAAGAAAAGAAAAGAAAAGCUUGGAUUAAUUAAUAAUUAAUCAAAAAAAUUAAACUUGUUAAGUUAAUAUAUA